UACGUAGGGUGCGAGCGUUGUCCGGAAUUACUGGGCGUAAAGAGCUCGUAGGUGGUUUGUCGCGUUGUCCGUGAAAACUCACAACUCAAUUGUGGGCGUGCGGGCGAUACGGGCAGACUGGAGUACUGCAGGGGAGACUGGAAUUCCUGGUGUAGCGGUGGAAUGCGUAGAUAUCGGGAGGAACACCUAUGGCGAAGGCAGCUCGCUGGGACGGUACUGACGCUGAGACGCGAAAGCGUGGGGAGCGAACAGG
rnacentral:rRNA from 1 species